UCUCCGUGAUGCCUGCUCAACUCAUCCGGGGAACAUAACUUGAACUCUGCCGUGUUUGUUGUGCUGGUGCCUUGUGGACUAUUCUUCAUGCUUAGAUCGGACUAUUGUGACUCUCUCCGCGUUUAAAACAGACGGUGCAUGAAUGCAGUUUUACGUAUGCACGUGGACGCUUUGGACAUACCUGGAGAAGGAAGAAAUGGGUCUUCGGAAUGAUGGGAGUUAAAGGCAAAAGCGGAGACUAGUGUUAAAACUAGUGGAGAAACGAUCAAGAUGCCACCUUGUCCCUCUGAUUAGAUGGCAUGUUAAGUCAGGAAGUAGCAUUAUUAGUGAUGAGUGGAGGGCAUACAGGAGAGUGCUGAGUAACAUGGGGUACAACCACUACACCAUAAACCACAGCAGGUGGUGUGUGAACCCCCAGAAGGCAGUCAUACCCAACAUAUAGAAAGAGCUUGGUCGACCGUCAAAGGACAUGUCCGUAGACUGAGAGGAAACCGUACAGAGAGUUUGUUGGAGGAACACCUCAAGGUCCUUGAAUGGUCUUGGCUUGUCUCUGCUCACCCUGAUGGACUGCUUGGACGCUUGUUCAAGAAUAUACAUAAAGCCUUUCCAGUCUGAGUACCAUUAUUUCUUACCAAGUCUUUAAUUCAUGUCUGAGAAAAGCUUUUAUAUUUAAAUAUGUGUAUCAGUCAUAAACAGUCAUUACUUUGAGUCCUAAUUUUCUUCAUGUGUGAAUAAAAUGUUUUGCUUGGUU